rnacentral:rRNA from 1 species
CAGUCGCCACGGUAAUACGUAGGUCCCGAGCGUUGUCCGGAUUUAUUGGGCGUAAAGCGAGCGCAGGCGGUUAGAUAAGUCUGAAGUUAAGGGCUGUGGCUUAACCAUAGUACGCUUUGGAAACUGUUUAACUUGAGUGCAAGAGGGGAGAGUGGAAUUCCAUGUGUAGCGGUGAAAUGCGUAGAUAUAUGGAGGAACACCGGUGGCGAAAGCGGCUCUCUGGCUUGUAACUGACGCUGAGGCUCGAAAGCGUGGGGAGCAAACAGGAUUAGAUACCCGCGUAGUCCCUGUCUCUUAUACA